AUGAAGAUCACACUCUCCUUAUUACUGCUACUGCUCACCUUCAGCAGUGUGAAAUGCCAAAAUAUGGAAUCCUUAGAAAGUGCAGUUCAGAUAAAACCUGGAGAGACUCUGAGUCUCUCCUGUAGAGGAUCUGGAUUUAAUUUUAGCAGCUACGGAAUGAACUGGAUCAGACAACAGACUGGAAAACCGCUGGAGUGGAUGGGAGCUAUUUCGGGUGAUGGAGGCACCAAGGUGUACGCAGCAUCGUUUCGAGGCCGAACUGACAUCACUAAAGAUAAUUCUAACAGCAUGGUGUAUCUGAAACUGUCCGGUGUGACAGCAGAGGAUUCAACUGUGUAUUACUGUGCUCGGUACCACAUUGAUACAGAAUAG